UCCUUGCUAGUAGUUACCACACUGAUUAUAUCCUAAUAUGUGUUUUAGCAUGAGGUUGGAAACGGAUUGUUGUCCUAUUCAAUCAAAUAUCCUCAUAGGAAUAAAGAUGUUAGUAGUAAUAUUUAUCUUUUGCUUGAUAGUGUAUGUCCACCAGCGAUUCUCAGUUUGGUCUAUGAUAACUUAAUGGAAUCUGAAUAUUAUUGUUUUCAUCUAUCUGUGAGUUUGUUAGUCAUCAAUUUGGUUAAUCCUUCGUUCUACAGGUACUGGGUCCAGGAUAAAGAUAUAUAUGUCUGUGGUGAUUUCAUGGCUAAAGCUAAAGAUACAAAAGAUAGACGAGAACAAAUUGCUUAUGGAGAAAAAAAUAGUCAGUGUAGAAGCUAGAAAGAAUCAGCAAUUUGUGUAGGCGAGGACAUGAUCAGACAAAGAGUUUCUUUGGAACUGAGAGACUUUCUUCCGGAGCAUCUCUAAAGCAACUAUUUGAUUUUCGGAUUUGUUUGUUUUUCGGAAAGAACAAUCUAUUCGCGCAAUACUACUGUGAGCCUGUGAUAUUUAGCUCAUCUGAGUUGCGGGCCAAAAUGAAGAUAAAGUCUAUACUCUUUUUCAAUCAUGAGAAGAUAUCUCUAGCUGAUGUCUUUGAUUUGUUUCUUAGAUAAAAUUAUGGUAUGUACGGGCUUGGAUUGAAAUAAUUUGUUCUUUUGAUAUACUUAAAAGAUGACUUCAAGUUUUUACUUUAUAGAUGAGUGUUUUUUUUUUUUGAACUGAUUGGUCGAGGCGAAGCAAUUAAUGAUGCUGGAACUUUAGGAGAAUGGUAACGAUGCCUUGGAACUUCGGUUUUGGGUACAUAGGACAACUUAGUUUUAUCUAUUUUUCUCUUGGAGAUUGAAUCAUUUCAGCUGGAAAUUUAAGGGAUCUUCAGUGCUUUCUAUGUACUACCAAAAAGUAUUUGCGACUUUCUUCCGUUGAGCUUGGGCAUUUCUGUUGGGUUGCAUUAUAUGUUUACUUUAUUGAAGGCCUUCAUGCAAAACCAUCUGGAAAGGAGAAGACUUGAAGGUAAGGGAAUUACAUUGGUUAAAUUCUCCUUUUUUGAAAUAAUUGAAAAACAUGUCAUUUUGCAAUUAAUAGGUAAACUUCACCUUAAGGCUCAUUUGAUUUGAUAUAGCAGAAAAGUUCAGGUUCUAUUUUCCACAAGGUAGUAAGUAUAUGAUGGUCAUGAAUUCGAGGAUUUUAACUUAGUGUUACUUGUUGUCUUAGCUCAAUUGGUAGAGCACAUGGUUUACAACUAUGUAGUUGUGGGUUCAAUUCCCGCAGAUGGCACAAAAAUCAUGUGAUUGAUUAGAUUUCUAUAUAUUGGCACAGUA